UCAACAAUAGCGGAGUGGUUAACGCGCUGGCCUGCUAGUCCUUCAUCGAAAGGAAAGUCAGCCAGUUCCUUCGGGAGCGUGUGUUCGAAUCACACAGGUGUCG
rnacentral:tRNA from 1 species